rnacentral:rRNA from 1 species
CAGCGGCGAACGGGUGAGUAACACGUGGGUCAUCUGCCCUCGGCACCGGAAUAGCCCGGGGAAACCCGGAUUAAUGCCGGAUGGCCCGACCGCUCUACGGGGCGGUCGGAAAAGGUAGCUUCGGCCUCCGGCCGAGGAUGAGCCCGCGGCGGAUUAGCUAGUUGGUGAGGUAAUGGCUCACCGAGGCGACGAUCCGUAGCUGGUCUGAGAGGACGAUCAGCCACACUGGGACUGAGACACGGCCCAGACUCCUACGGGAGGCAGCAGUGGGGAAUCUUGCGCAAUGGGCGAAAGCCUGACGCAGCGACGCCGCGUGAGGGAAGAAGGCUUUCGGGUUGUAAACCUCUUUCAGGAGGGACGAAGCCACUCGGGUGAAUAGCCCAGAGGGUGACGGUACCUCCAGAAGAAGCCCCGGCUAACUACGUGCCAGCAGCCGCGGUAAUACGUAGGGGGCAAGCGUUGUCCGGAUUUAUUGGGCGUAAAGAGCGUGUAGGCGGCCAGGCAGGUCCGUUGUGAAAACUGGAGGCUCAACCUCCAGACGUCGAUGGAAACCGUCUGGCUAGAGUCCGGAAGAGGAGAGUGGAAUUCCUGGUGUAGCGGUGAAAUGCGCAGAUAUCAGGAAGAACACCCGUGGCGAAAGCGGCUCUCUGGGACGGUAC